rnacentral:rRNA from 1 species
AUAACCUCGGGAAACUGAGAAUAAUGCCCGAUAGAACAUUAUACCUGGAACGGUUUAUGUUUCAAAUGAUUUAUCGCCGUAGGAUGGGACUGCGGCCUAUCAGUUUGUUGGUGAGGUAAUGGCCCACCAAGACUAUUACAGGUACGGGCUCUGAGAGGAGUAGCCCGGAGAUGGGUACUGAGACACGGACCCAGGCCCUAUGGGGCGCAGCAGGCGAGAAAACUUUGCAAUGUGCGAAAGCACGACAAGGUUAAUCCGAGUGGUUUCUGCUAAAGAAACCUUUUGCUAGUCCUAGAAACACUAGUGAAUAAGGGGUGGGCAAGUUCUGGUGUCAGCCGCCGCGGUAAAACCAGCACCUCAAGUGGUCAGGAUGAUUAUUGGGCCUAAAGCAUCCGCAGCCCGUUUUGUAAGUUUUCGGUUAAAUCCAUACGCUCAACGUAUGGGCUGCCGGGAAUACUGCAUAACUAGGAAGUGGGAGAGGUAGACGGUACUCGGGAGGAAGGGGUAAAAUCCUUUGAUCUCUUGAUGACCACCUGUGGCGAAGGCGGUCUACCAGAACACGUUCGACGGUGAGGGAUGAAAGCUGGGGGAGCAAACCGGAUUAGAUACCCGGGUAGUCCCAGCUGUAAACUAUGCAAACUCAGUGAUGCAUUGGCUUGUGGCCAAUGCAGUGCUGCAGGGAAGCCGUUAAGUUUGCCGCCUGGGAAGUGCGUACGCAAGUAUGAAACUUAAAGGAAUUGGCGGGGGAGCACCACAAGGGGUGAAGCCUGCGGUUC